rnacentral:rRNA from 1 species
GACGAACGCUGGCGGCGUGCUUAACACAUGCAAGUCGAGCGAUGAAACACCUUCGGGUGCGGAUUAGCGGCGAACGGGUGAGGAACACGUGAGGAACGUGCCUUCCACUCUGGUAUAACUCCGGGAAACCGGGGCUAAUACCGGAUACUUUCAAUUGGCGGCAUCGACGGAUGAAGAAAGUUGUUCGGGGGAAGAUGACCUCGCGGCCGUUCUGUCUGUUGGUGAGGUAAAGGCUCACCAAGGCGACGACGGGUAGCCGGCCCGAGAGGGGGGACGGCCACACUGGGACUGAGACACGGCCCAGACUCCUACGGGAGGCAGGAGUGGGGAAUAUUGGGCAAUGGAGGAAACUCUGACCCAGCGACGCCGCGUGAGGGAUGAAGGCCUUCGGGUUGUAAACCUCUUUCAGCAGGGAAUAAGCGAAAGUGAAGGUACCUGCAGAAGAAGCACCGGCUAACUAUGUGCCAGCCGCCGCAGUAA